rnacentral:rRNA from 1 species
GACAGAGGGUGCAAACGUUGCUCGGAAUCACUGGGCGUAAAGGGCGUGUAGGCGGGAAGGAAAGUCGGGCGUGAAAUCCCUGGGCUCAACCCAGGAACUGCACUCGAAACUUCUUUUCUUGAGUGCCGGAGAGGAAAGCGGAAUACCUGGUGUAGAGGUGAAAUUCGUAGAUAUCAGGUGGAACACCAGUGGCGAAGGCGGCUUUCUGGACGGUACUGACGCUGAGACGCGAAAGCGUGGGGAGCGAACAGG